UACGAGAACCCCAAGCGUUAUCCGGAAUCAUUGGGCGUAAAGGGUGUGUAGGUGGCGAUGUUAGUCUUCUGUCAAAAUCUUGGGCUUAACCCAAGUCUUGCAGAGGAAACGGCAUUGCUUGAGGGUGCGAGAGGUGAAUGGAACUCAUGGAGUAGGGGUGAAAUCCGUUGAUAUCAUGGGGAACACCAAAAGCGAAGGCAAUUCACUGGCGCAUUUCUGACACUGAGACACGAAAGCGUGGGUAGCGAACGGG
rnacentral:rRNA from 1 species